GUGAAAUAUUUAUACCCCGUUUACGUGAGACCAAGGACGAAAAAAAAUGCCUCAAACCACCGGUUUGAAGUUGUCCAAUGCUACUCGUGGGGACAAAGGUCCAACUACAUCUUCCUAAAUUUGGAGUAGGGUAAUUCAGAGCAGGAUGAAUGUAAACAUUUGAGACUGGUCUCAGCUGUUGACUUCAGAACAACGCAUGCUCACAAAAGCACAGUAAAAAAAGAAAAAUAGGCAAGGAAAUGAAUGAAAAGAUUUGUAAUUGUUGUACCUGUCUCGUGAAAUACUUGCAGUAGAAAAAUUUCCAUUUGUG